GACGAACGCUGGCGGCGUGCUUAACACAUGCAAGUCGAACGGAAAGGCCCUGCUUGCCGGGUACUCGAGUGGCGAACGGGUGAGUAACACGUGGGUGAUCUGCCCUGCACUUCGGGAUAAGCCUGGGAAACUGGGUCUAAUACCGGAUAGGAGCCAUUUUUAGUGUGAUGGUUGGAAAGUUUUUUCGGUGUAGGAUGAGCUCGCGGCCUAUCAGCUUGUUGGUGGGGUAAUGGCCUACCAAGGCGGCGACGGGUAGCCGGCCUGAGAGGGUGGACGGCCACAUUGGGACUGAGAUACGGCCCAGACGCCUACGGGAGGCAGCAGUGGGGAAUAUUGCACAAUGGGCGCAAGCCGGAUGCAGCGACGCCGCGUGGGGGAUGACGGCCUUCGGGUUGUAAACGCCUUUCGCUAGGGACGAAGCUUUUUGUGACGGUACCUAGAGAAGAAGCACCGGCUAACUACGUG
rnacentral:rRNA from 1 species